rnacentral:rRNA from 1 species
UACAGAGGGGGCAAGCGUUAUUCGGAAUUAUUGGGCGUAAAGGGCGCGUAGGCGGCUCAUGAAGGCUGUGGUGAAAGUCCGGGGCUCAACCUCGGAUCGGCCGUGGCGACUCGUGGGCUGGAGCACUGUAGAGGCGGGUGGAAUUCCGGGUGUAGCGGUGGAAUGCGUAGAGAUCCGGAAGAACACCAGUGGCGAAGGCGGCCCGCUGGGCAGUGGCUGACGCUGAGGCGCGACAGCGUGGGGAGCAAACAGG